AUGGACUCAUCCAUUGAACAGAAUGUGUGCGUUGUGAGUGCUGCAGUUCACUGGAGUGUAAUUGCGCUGCUGCAUUUUUGUCGGUCGCAGGGAAAAGGUGUGCCUGCAAAUGUCCGCGUUGUUCGUCCACGGCCUCUUCCUUUUUACACUCUGCUAGGAUGUUUACUUCCUAGUGGUGGAGUGCCAGGAUUUUUAACCAGUGUAAUGUCAUCCAGUAGUGAGGAGGCAGAUUUGUGGGCAGAAGACACUAGAAUAAAUGUGAGUGACUCCCUCCUGCCAUCUGACAUCCCUCCUGCUGUCAAAGUAACCUGCGGAGUCUGCUGUGGUCCAUCAUGUAGAGCUGUGUAUCUCAAAGAAUGGUCUGCAGACCCCUACAGUAGAAUCAGCCAGGUACUGUUAAAAAAUGUUGCUUUUGCAAGCUCACCCCAACCCACUGAAUUGAAAUAUCUCACAAUGGGGCCAUUUUAACAAGCUCCUCAGGUGAUUGAUGCAAGAUAAAGUUUGAGAACCCUUGACUCAAACUGAAUGACUUGUCAAAAUUGUAAGUGUGGUUUUGUCCCUCUCCUACCUAAACUCUUAAUUGGCUCCACAAAGCCACAGAAGCAAGUUGAAAGUUUUUAACCUGUCCAAUACAUCUUUCAUGACUUCUCUACCUAGGUCUCCAGUUUUUUUCUCUCCCCACUGCCUGCUGUGUGCUUAAAAUUCCAGCAACAAGGAACCAUUUGCAGUCUCUCCAAACAGCUUGCUGCUUCUGGUCUCCUUGUCUGUGCUGACCAGGUCCUCUCUAUCUGGAAUACUCCUCCAUUCCCUCCUUACUUAUUUCCUUCUUCCUUCAUUGCCUCCCUUCCUUUCUUUUAUUUCUAGGCCCCGCUAUCUGGAAUGUUCUUUCUUUCUCCCUCCCCUUCAUUACAUUCCCUGAACUAAGUUAACAUGGCUGCUCUUUCUCUCAGUAGAUCUGUAUCAUCAGUCUUACCAUAUUGAAUUAUAAGUGCAAGGGCUAUUUUUCUGUAUGUAUCACCUAAUAGGCCGUGAAAGUCUUGAGGACAGGAUAAAUGUGUCAGUUUGGUUGCAGGCAACAGAAUGCAAAUCUGAAGAAAGUAUUGGUAAGAUGCUGCAUAGCUAAGAGAUAAAAAAGAAGUAUUUCAAUUAUGCUUAGGAAGGGCAGACCCUAGGGAAGCUGCAGAUCACAGCAAUAGGAAC
rnacentral:lncRNA from 1 species